UAGAAAAUAGAGCUGUUGUUUGUAAUUAAAACUUUUAAGAUUAGAUGUUACAGUGUUUUUACUCCCUUCCAAACAGUAAAGUUCCUCUUUGUCUCUGAGUAGGAAAUUUAAACCAGACAGUACAAGGCUACAUUUCAGUGUUACAAGCCAAUCAGUUUGCUAAUUGCUCUGUGAGAUUUGUUUGCAAAGUUUAAGGUGUUAAGUAGGACUGUGAACAUCUGGGUCUGCUUGCUGCUGGCAUUCUGCCAGAGCCCCAGCAACAAGACCGCCUCCCAGCAACGAGACUGCCUGUCAGCUUUGCAAGGUACCCAAUUUUCCAAUUACUCUAUAACAAAACUGUUGUGGGCAACAAGACUGUCUCCUAAGUUUGCAAGCCAAUCACUUUGCCAAAUGUUCUUGUAAGAUUUGUUUGAAAAGUUUGAGGUGGUAACUGUGAGCUGUGAACAUCUGGGUUUGCUUGCUGCUGGCAUUUGACCAGCGUCUCAGCAACAACACUGCCUCCCACCUUUGCAAGGUAAUUACUUUCCCAAUUACUGUACACCAAAACGAAGUAACUGUCGUUGUCAACAAAUCUGCCUCCCAACUUUCAAGGUAAUCACUUUCUCAAUUACAAUAUACAAACUGUUAUGGAACUUUACUUAACAAAGCCUUAAGACCGGGUAGUGACACUAUCAAUAUGUCUAUUUAUUUGUUCUUGUAGUCAUCUUGUCUAUCAAUGUAUCAGAGGGUUAAACUAACAAAUUGCUUGAAAUGCCAAUAAUUAAUAUUCUGUUUUUAUGCUGACAUUCUACCAGAUGCCGAGAAAAAAUAAAAGAUCCCAGGCACAAAAGAAGCGCUGGAAACCACUUGACCUGGUCGAUCCUGCUGUCCCAAAGCUCACUGGCCACAACCAAGAUGAGGCAGUCAGUAGUUUUCCAUCUGACCAGACGGCACCAGCCAGGUUAUCUUUGGAAACACAGGCUAGACCCACCUCCUUAUGUUCCCCAGGUACCAAGCAGACAGCACCAGCCAGCUUGUCCUUGGAAACGGAGAAUAGACCCACCUCCUUAUGUCCUCCAGGCAGCAAGAGUUCAGAAACUCGUCCACCAGCAAAACGAGUCUGGGCAACCGAUGACUUCCACACGGCAUCAAAUUCUCCACCUAAAAGGGUAUGUCCACAAAUGUCUCUAACCAAUUAGUAUACAUGUGAUGUUUGCUGUAUAAUCACCGGGGUUGAUAUUUAGUCUUUCACCUUAAGUGUGCUUGCUAACUCGUACUAAAUAUACUAAAAUGUUAGACUAAACAUGUACAUUUGUCAAUUUCUUUUCAUCAGACUCUUAAAAUGCAGACAUCUCAACAGCUAUUUCUGUCUGUCUGUUUAACUAUUUCUAUAUCUAUUGUUCUGAAAUAACUUUUAUACCAUUUUAUACUUAAAGCUUCAGAUAAAUUGACAUCCACAGUGAAAAGCAGUGCAAAUAAAUACAAACAUGAUUUUGUGACACUCACCUUUUCUCAAGAUGGAUGUCAGUGUAUUCUGUUUCAAUCACAUUUAACCUGUAACUGAAUUUUGUGUCAUUUCUUUACAAAACGUAACACAACUAUGAAACGUGUUUUUAUGGCACAUG
rnacentral:lncRNA from 1 species